CGUGAAGCUGGAAUCGCUAGUAAUCGCGGAUCAGAAUGCCGCGGUGAAUACGUUCCCGGGUCUUGUACACACCGCCCGUCACACCAUGGGAGCCGGAAACGCCCGAAGCCAGUGGCCUGACCGCAAGGAGGGAGCUGUCGAAGGCGGGUCCGGUGACCGGGGUGAAGUCGUAACAAGGUAGC
rnacentral:rRNA from 1 species